AAGUUUAAUAGCACUUUGUUAACUUACUUUCUAAAACAACUUUUUCAUCACUACAACAAAAACGGUCUAUAGCGACACUUUUAAAUAUCGGUAUAGGUUAAAAAAGUACUGCUGGCUAAAUUUACCGACACUUUUAAAAAGUGUUGCUAUAUGUGGGGUCACUAGGUAUAUAGUGACAGUGAAAGUGUGUUGCUAUAAUCUAAAAAAGUGCUGCUAAUUUACCAACAUUUAUUUAAGUAUCUAGCAACCGUCGGAACUCUACCUCGUUGGCUGCGGUAGCGGAGGAGGACGAGAGAAAAUGAUCUUCGUCUAGGAUUUCAGUCGAUAAAGUGAGGGGAGAAGGAAAAAUGAUAAUCGAUUUUUUUUUUCUUUUUCUUUUCUUUUUCUUUUCUGUUUGUAAUCGGGCCGAAUGGGCUACGUGGAGUGGGUUGAGUAGAGUAUCCUUUUAUUUUUAGUUGGAUUGGACUUUAUAUUUAGUCAUUAGUAGGAUUUUUUUAAGUUUUGGCAUAAAUAUAACACUUAUACAAAAGUGUCCCAAACAUGUGUCGCUAUAACCUAAUUCUGUUAUAGUGCAUUUUGAAAUAUUAUAUUUUGCCACACAUAAAAAAAANGGUCGCUAGGUAUAUAGUGACAGUUAAAGAGUGUUGCUAUAAUCUAAAAGAGUGCUGCUAAUUUACCAACAUUUAUUUAAGUAUCUAGCAACCGCCGGAACUCUACCUCGUUGGCUGCGGUGGUGGAGGAGGACGAGAGGAAAUGAUCUUCGUCUAGGAUUUCAGUCGAUUAAGUGACGGGAAAAGGAAAAAUGAUAAUCGAUUUUUUCUUUUCUUUUUCUUUUCUGUUUGUAAUCGGGCCGAAUGGGCUACGUGGAGUGGGUUGAGUAGAGUAUCCUUUUAUUUUUAGUUGGAUUUGACUUUAUAUUUAGUUAUUAGUAGGAUUUUUUUUAAGUUUUGGCAUAAAUGUAACACUUAUACAAAAGUGUCCCAAACAUGUGUCGCUAUAACCUAAUUCUGUUAUAGUGCAUUUUGAAAUAUUAUAUUUUGCCACACAUAAAAAAAAAUUCAUAAUUUUCGCUAUGGACAGAAACUGAAAU
rnacentral:lncRNA from 1 species